rnacentral:misc_RNA from 1 species
AACGCACGAGACCUGCGGACCUGCGGAAGGAUCAUUAAUGAGAAGCUGCCCCUCGUGGGUAGACCUCCCACCCUCUGUGAACUUACCUUUGUUGCUUUGGCAGGCCCGUCCUCUGGACCGCCGGCUUCGGCUGGCCCGUGCCUGCCAGAGGAUUCCAAACCCCGUCUGUCAGUGUUGUCUGAGUCUAUAUGAAAUCGUUAAAACUUUUAACAAUGGAUCUCUAGAUCGGAAGAGCACACG